AUAUUAUAAUGAAGUAAUCGAAUUUGGUUAUCUGGUCUUCCUGAUGUUAGAACAUUUAUAUAAAAAACAUAUUUUAAAAUGUAUUUCUGUAACGUUUAAUUUCCUUUUUUGAUGAAAGUGUGUCUGUGUUCAUCAAGACAUGAAGACUCUGGAGUGGGACAAGAGAAGGAUGAUGGGGUGUAUAUUCCAAUAGACACAUUAAGUCACAUUGUGAUUUCAGUGAAAGCUGAUAAAUACAGAGGGCUGGACAGUGGUUUCAUUCAUUAGGUAAAGAGGUGGGACAAGGAUGCUGACAGGACAGGAGGAGGUGACAUUCAGGUUAGUGACAGUACAUCAGGGGCACCAUUUAAUUUAAUGUUAAUUUAAUUGCUUCCAAAAUCAAUACUUG